GUGCUUUCUUAGUCCUAAAGGUGGCCAGGUGGCACUGAGUUCUCACCAAGGAGGGUUUUACCAAAAGGGGUCAGAACACAUGCUGCGGGAGCAAAUGAAGGAGGCCAGCAGGUGUGAGCCCCCGACUGCUGAGCCUGUGGUCUCUGUGGGGGUGUGAUGGUUUGUAGACAUGUACAGCCUCUGGUCCAUGUGAGUGCACGUGAAGUAUGGAUGUUCAUGCAAGUGCUGGUGUAGGACACGUGUCCCUGGGGAUUCGGCCCAGCUCAUCACGUGCUUCACCCUAUCGCUCCCCACAAACCUGCCAAGGACCCUGCAUGUUUCCAGGCUGGUUUUAAAAUUCAAGGCUUUGGCCUGAGUGUCAGAGAUGAUCCUGAAGCUGGUGGAAAAGCUUGCUUAAUGCCUGCUCUGUCCAGACCCUCUGCAGGGCUGGCGGGAUGGGGUGCUUUUUGCUGCCUUCACUACCUUCUCUACCCCCACUCCUCGCAGUCCCUCCCAGCCGUGAUGCAGACAAGCCCUGUGUGCGGCAUAGUAAAGGGACAGCAUUGAAGCAUCACGGUACACUCCACCUUUGCUGCAAAGGGCAGUGUCAGCACAAGAAGGUUCUGUUUGCAGAGAGAAGGUUCACUGGAAGGAGCUCAAAGAAGCUAUAGCCCCAUCCAGCCCCACUGUGAUGUGCCCACUGGACUCAGGUUCUGAGCCUAACCACCCAGGCCAAGGACUCUGGGCUUGGAGAAGAGGGAAGCGAUUCCACAGGAAAAGAAGUCCUCGAUGUCUCCUACAAAAGUCAGGGCCAGUGAGAAGAACAGAGGGCACCCCAGAUAUUUCAAACAGAGGAAGUUUAAUAUGGGCAAUUGGUUACCCAGGAGAGGAAAGAGCUGAAAAGCCAAACAGCAAAUGGUAAGACAGUAUAGUUUGGGCAUGAGCUACUACCAGGUCAGGGUGGGGCAACACGCGGAGGAGGUGACAAUUCUGCUUGGGGGUGGUGGAAUCAUGGCAGGAGCCACUGCAUGGCAGAACCACAGAGGAUUGGGUAGUUUUGUAGGAGCUGAAGAUGAGAAGACAGUACUGGAACAAUGACACCCUCCCCCACGAAGCAGAGGGAGAAGGGGAGAAACAUUCUGGUGUCUCCCACCUCCCCAGACCUCUCCCAGUACUUCCCAGUGGCCCAGCCUAGCAUGAAGCCAGUUGGCAAAGGAGCCUGGGAAAAGCAGUUUGCAGGAGGUGGGCUGUCACAUAUGAAAGCAAAUGGGCAAUGCCCAGCACUUCCCCCUGUCACACUCUGCAUGGGGUGAGAACUCAGGAAAAGCAAAGAAAUAUUUGGCACUGUCCCCGGGACUAUGGAUAUGACUAAGUUUUGAUAAGAGUUUAAUGGACCGCACACAUGCACACCUUUCCCGGUGCCACCUGCUUCCUAAGUGUGGCUUCAAGCAGUCCCCACCCCAGCCCAGCGAACUCAGGACAAGACCCUUGUGCUGGAGUCAAGGAAACUGAGGCUUUCAGAAGGGAAGUAGCUUCUCUCAGGCCUCACAGCUGGAAGAUGGCAGAGCCUGGGCUCAUAUUCACAUUGGUGUGACUCCAGGGCCCGUGGGCCUGAGAGAGAAAUGGUUAGGAAUUGAAGAGGUAAAGCAGAUGAAUGAAGAUGGUACCACUAGGAAGUAGGAUAUGACUGAGUCUGUGCUGCCUCUGUGGCACUCCCUCCGACCCUCUCCUUUGUGGUCUGGCCCCCCAGACUCCUUCUUUAUCUCUGUGGCCCACACCACCCAUCCCCGCUGUGAUGUGGAGUUGCCUUCUCCUUGUGUCUCCCCUCUGAUGAUAAGUCACCUCCUCCUGGCAGCCUCCAAACUUGGAGAUGCCACCAGCUCCCUGCUAUUGCUGGCCUCUGGGCUGCAGUACCAUCUCCCACUGGGUUUCUCAGCUCUUCUAUCCUUCUAGCCAGCCCCCUAUAUUAACUUCUCUCCAUUAGAAACCUAGUGUUUUGGUUUUCCUGCUGAUACCUCGCCUGGUACAAUUGUCACCAGUUAUUGUGGGAUUCCUUAGAGGAGGAACGCUUCCACGUGCCUCUCAUGUGUUAAAGCACAAGGUAGGAACCCUCGCCCCACUUGACAGAAGCAGAAGUAGAAGUAGGGCAUCUGGAGAGGAGAAGCCACUGGUCUGCAGUCACACAGCUAAUGAGAGACAGGGCUGGGGCUCCCAGUCAGGGGGUAGAAAUCCAGAGCCCACGCCCUGCCUACCGCCUGGCCUGCCAUUGGCCAUCCUGACUGCCAGAUGACUGCCUAGGUGCCAGAACCCUGCCCUGAUGGCAGCCUCUGUGACAUCUCCAUCUGGCUGCUCUGCCCUACAACAGCCCUCAGUGACAUGACUGUGGAUGGCAUCUCUGCACCUGCUCUCCAGCUGAAGACUCCAGUGUCUGCCGAGGGGCCAGUAGGGGAUUUCGGACCCUUCACGCUCCGUGGCCUCCUCGCUCUUCUUCCUCACUCCAGCGUCUCUUCUUGCCAGCCUCUUCCGCCCCUGCCACUCCUGGCAUGCCACUCCAUGCCAGAACCCUCGAUGACUCAUCCACAUAGAGCUUUCGCUUCCUCCUUCUUGUUAGAGGCUCUUGACCUGCUGCAGCUGCAGAAAGGAGGUGCCUCCUUGGGGGCUCGAAGGCCCGGAGGAGCAGCCAUGGGCCCUGCUGAGGGCUCAGGGCCCAGACCCAAGGAGCUGGGGUGCUGUCCCUGUGGAGCAUAAGGUGGCAAGGGGGCUUCUCAGGCUCCCUGCCAGACACUGGCCUGGGCCAAACUCUCUCCAAAUGGCCAGUCACCUAUACAGGCUGGCAUACCGGGAGACCGACCUAGAAUUUUUAAGCUGGAAUUGUGCCUCUCCUACUUAUGAGACAUCAGAGGGACCCGUCUUCAUUCAUUUGUUCAUUUUUGCAUGGAUGCUUCAUGACUUUCUCCCUCUGUUCCCUCAUUUAACAAAUCUGUCCUGGUCUCCUAGGUACCAAGUAGUCCCUAGUGGACCAAGAAACCAAAGUUCAUUCUCUGCCCAUGAGGAUCUCCCAGGUGAGAGGGUGGGAAGUGAGGUUGAGGGACAGAUCUGUAAACAGAGAACCUGAGUAGGGUUAAAGAAAACACAAAACAGGGACGCCUGGGUGGCUCAGCGGUUGAGCAUCUGCCUUUGGCUCAGGGCGUGAUCCCAGGGUUCCGGGAUUGAGUCCCACAUCAGGCUCCCUGCAUGAUGCUUCUCCCUCUGCCUCCGUCUCUCUCUGGCUCUGUCUUUCAUGAAUAAGUAAAAUUAAAAAGAAAAAAAGAAAACCCAAAACGGUAGGGAAGCUUUGGGGGUACUUCUGAGAUCUCUUCAUACAGUUUACCAGACAUGUGUACCACAGAAAUGCUUCCUCAUUACAAGCUGGCUUCCUCUCCCUUUAGAGCAUUCUAUAGCUCCCAGCUGCUCAGAGGGCAAGGCUAAAAAUUAAACUUCACUGAGCCUCCUCAGUGCAGGUGUGUUGUGCAACUUCAAGGGGUUGGGGAGGGCCCAUUCAUAUCUUAGUCUAAGGGGAUGGCAUCUGGUUGAAUGACCCUGCUGUGGAGUCAGACCUGGGUUACACUUAGGGUCAUUUUCUUACCAUGUGACUUUAAGGAAGUUGGUCAUCUCUGAGCCUUGGUUUACUCAUCUGUAAAAUGAAGCUAUUGAUAACGUCAGUGUUGUGUGUUUGCAAGAAUUCAGUGAGAUCAUCCAUGCAGAGCACCUGGUACCAUGUAAACAGUGAAGCACUUGGUAAAUGCCAGCUGUCAUAACAAAUACUACUGUUUACAAUGAGGUUCUAUGGGUGCCUGAAUCUCCCCCCCACCCCCAUGUAUGUGUCUGGCUGGCUGUCUCAAGGGUGGUCAGGGAAGGCUUCCCAAAAGAGGUGACAUUGACCUUGUGUCUUGAAGGAGAAAGUGGGGGAAAAGCAUUCCAGGUAAGGGGAAAGGCCAGAUGAAGUCAGGGUAUGGGGAGCACUUUGGGGCAGGCAAAAGGACCAGGCCAAGAGUGGCCUGGAGGGGUGGGCCUGGGCUCCUCAGGCCUCAACGAUGCAGCCUGGCUGGGAGCAACUGUUGGAUCUGGGUGGGUGGGGGCUGCCCCAGCUUGGUAUCUGAGAUACUGGCAGCUCUCACCCUUUUGUCCCCUCCCAUUUCUGGGCCUCCACUUCCUUCCCCUGCACAGACCACAGAGGCAUUUCAAAGGAAGCUGCUACUUAUUUUAGCAGUGAUCCCUGGACACCCCCACCCACAGCUACCCCUGCCCCUCUCGGCCCCUGUGAAGGGCAUCAGGCCAUUUUUCUGAGUCAUAGCCUGAGUGAGGGCCUGGUCCUACCCCCUUUCCUGCAGGAAGCCAAGCCCAGUCUCAAUGGUUGAAGACAUGGGUUCAAGCCCAGCUCUGGCAUUAACUUACUGGACAACAUCCUAGUCCCUUCAUCUUCCAAGUCUUGGGUCCCCACUGGGCAGGCACUGACCUCUGGGCAGAAAGUGGGUUGGGGAUGGAUGUGCUGCCACACUCCUCUGUUGUCAGACUGGAAGAACUAGAGACAGGGUUGCAGGCAAGAUCGAGUUUGGGGGCCCAGAAGCUUAUACUUUGGAGGUCUGGCCUUAAGAAAAACAGAAUCACAAAUACAGAUACUUAUGAAAGUAAAAUUCUAUUUAGAAAGGAUCUGUGCAUGUGAAUCUUUUUUUUUUCAGCGUCCUGAAAAUCUGGUUUUUGGAGAGGGUCCCCCAAAUCCUCAGGAGACAGUGGGGAAACUGAAGCAAAGACCGAGGAUGUCACUGGCUCGACACGAUCACACAGUUAGGGACCGGAAGGCUAUGAUUUGAACCCAGAUUUGUCAAAACCUGAUGCCCACAUUUUGCUCCCUAUCCUCGAUAGCCCCUCAAAGUCCCACUGGUGUGAGGGAGGAAGGAAGAGAGACUGCUGGCAAGAACACAGGGCUAUGGCCAAACAGACUCACCAAAGUCCCAGCUCUGCCCCUUUCCAGCUGUGUGACACCUUUGGAGCCUCAGUGUCCUCAUCUGUAAAAUGGCGUGAUGGGGAGUAGUCAUGUGCUCUCUGCAGCAGCUGGCACACAGCAGUUCUAUUUUUGCCUUCACCUGGAUCUUAUAAGUCACCCUGAACCAUACUGAUGAUGCUAAUGGCUAACCCUUGUCUAGAGCUUACCUUGUGUCAUGCAUGGCUCUAAGUACAGCUACUGAAACAUUAAACAUUAAUGUUUAAUUACGAAUUACUAAAGGAAGUUCCCAAGUUGCUCAGAGUGGAGGGUCAUCUCAUCCCAGGCAGAGGGAACAGCAUGUGCAAAGUCAAGAGGCAGAAGGAUACCUGUGAGGAAGGGAAAGGAACCAGGAGAUUGUGAGGGACUGGAGGACUGUGUGGGCCAGGAGUAGUACAGAGGAGGCUGAAGAAUUAGCUCCCUGGCUUCUUCUUGGGUUCCAAUCCCCUGAGCAGCAGCUUCAGCCUUGCGUGAAAAGUGUCUGUGAGGGGAAGGCCUGCUGGUGUGCAGGGUGAGUGCAGGACGCAGAACCUCAGUGAGAGGCAGUCCCCGACAUUGGCCUUUGGAUUGGGAGGCCAUGGCAAAGCCCUGGCAUGAUCCUUUGCUGCCUCCCCUCCUGCUUUUCUAGUUUUGACAAUUCAGAAGCCUUCACCAGUGAAGUGAAACAGGGGAAGAUGUGAGCCUUACUUAGGGUCACCCCACCGACCAGCUUCUCAACCUCCCCGGCUGACCGACUCCCUGUCCACCUUUUUGUCCAUCCAUGAGUCUGAACACUCAAUGCUGACCUGGAACAGUACUCUUCAUGCAUUGCCUAUACCCCCUCAGUCUACCUCUGAAUUCCCAGUGACUGUCCCGGCUGUAGGGGGGACAUCCUCUAUCCCAUCCCCAGCCCCCACAUCUCCACUUCCCUGCCUAGAACUUUCUCAGGUAACACAGAAGCCCACUUUCCACAGUGCACCCAGAAAUGCCACGGCUGGAAUGUCCACAGAGCAGCCCUCACCCAAUGAUGGAUUGUGGACAGUGACCAAAGGUAGGACCAUUCUGGGCACAUUGCACACUGCUGCUUGGUGGGUCCCCAGGGGGGCUAAGUCCCAGGUGCCCAGCAAGGAACCUGCUCAUGUGUACCCCUUAUUGGAUUUUCUCCUUUCCCUGGCAGACUUUCCCACUCCUUCAUCCCUAUCUCCUUAGAUUAUCGCCUCCAGAGAAGCCACCUGCUCCCAUUGCCCUCCCCAUGUCUCCUCCCAUCAGCUGCUUAUGAUUUGUCCAGAUGGUGAAUAUUCAUGGUACCUACUCUGGUGGCCCCUUACAAGAUGAGGAGGGCACAGCCUUGCCCUCAAGAGCCCAUUGACUUGUCUAGAAGGACGCAGGCUCCACAGGGUGGACUGGGGCAAGAGGAGGUAAGUGCUGGUUUUAGCCACUUUUUCACCCCAUUUUGGUUCCCCACUAUGGGCUCUCUCUUGUGUGUAACUUUCCAAGGAAGCUUCUAGCAGCCUGUGUUGUGUCUGGCAGGAAGGAAGGAAGAACAAUACUUAACACUUGUGCUCACUUCACUUGAGCCUCUCUACAUGUAUUAAGCCCAUUCAUUUCCCCAGCAGCCCUAGAAAGGAUACUCUUAACUUGAACUCCAUCUUACAGAUGGGGAAAGUGAGGUAUGACGAGUCUCACCUAAAGUGGUGUAGGUAAUAGCAAGCAGAGCUGAGAUUUCAGCCCAGGCAAUCUGACCUUUAGUUUAGCUUCUGUGCUUUGCUGUUUGCAUGAGGGAAGGUGGGAGGGGAUUUGGUUUGAUGCAGAAGAAAGGAUUCAAAUGCACAUGAGGGCAGAGAAGGCAGACCAGCACCAAGAAAAAAAAUGCUUGGAAACAUACUUCCAUACUUGUGUGCUCUAGCGCACACAAAUCCACGAGUGCCAUGUACACACAAAGACAAGUCUACACAAAAAUGCAUGUUUUUUUUUUAAUUAGGCCAAAGAUGAUGGCCAGUUUUUUUUUUUUAAGAUUUUUGAAUUUGUUUAUUCAUAGAGAUGCAGAGAGCGAGAGAGAGGCAGAGACACAGGCCGAGGGAGAAGCAGGCUCCAUGCAGAGAGCCUGACGUAGGACUUGAUCCAGGGUCCCCAGGAUCAUGCCCUGGGCUGUAGGGGGCGCUAAACCGCUGCGCCACCGGGGCUGCCCAAAAAUGCAUGUUUAAUUAAAUGCAUAUGUAUCCAUGUAAGUGUGCAAAUACAUGCAUACUCUACACACUCAGAGAUUUGCAUGCAUCAGGACAUCCAAAGGCCAUUACAUAUAUACACGUUUGCACAUGUGAACAAGCAUGCAUGUGUAUUCACAGACAGAUGCACACACAUGCACACUACAUGUUUAUUUGCAUCCAUGCAUAUGCCCUUGCACACAUGGGCACACACAAAUGCAAAUCCGUGGUCAGGUCGAAUUCUUUGCUUAAAGAAAACUUGUGACUGUAUUAAAAAUGUAGGACACAUUGGCCAAAUAAUUAAAGUGAGGAGUGAGGCAGUGGGACUUCUUGCCGCUCUCUCGGGGCCGCCUGCGCUGGGCUGUGCUCAGCGUGGCUUCGUCCUAUAUAUUUGAGGAAGAGGCACUUUAUUACAGUAAUUUAUCACCUCCAUAAAUGUGGCUCCUCUGUAACGCGGAAUAAUUUGGGAAGAAAUAUGUUUUAAAAAUUAAAAAUGCAGUCGGCAUGCGCCCCGGCAAGUCUGCAGGGAGACAUCGCCGCACCUCCAGUAACUGCCCAUGUAGCUCUAAUACCUACAACUUCCAUUAUUUAAAGUGUGAUUAUAUUUUUCCUGCUUGGAGCUUUGUCAGCUAUAAAUAAAAGAUAAGGGUGAAUAGUUGCGGGGCCUA